UACGUAGGUGGCAAGCGUUGUCCGGAUUUACUGGGUUUAAAGGGUGCGUAGGCGGUUUGAUAAGUUAGAGGUGAAAUGUCGGGGCUCAACCCCGAAACUGCCUCUAAUACUGUUGGACUAGAGAAUAGUUGCGGUAGGCGGAAUGUAUGGUGUAGCGGUGAAAUGCUUAGAGAUCAUACAGAACACCGAUUGCGAAGGCAGCUUACCAAACUAUAUCUGACGUUGAGGCACGAAAGCGUGGGUAGCAAACAGG
rnacentral:rRNA from 1 species